GCGGAGGCUACUACAACCGUGUUGCUGGAUCUUUUUCUUGAAAAUCACCAUCUCCGUGCUCCAUUACGUGGUGUGUUUCCCCGUAGCAAUUCUGGACAGAAGUUGGCUGGUAUGGAAAACACGCUAUUAAGCCAUCAUCUACAUGUCCUUUCUGCAAUACAAAUCAAAAAAAUUGCUUCAGAACUAGAAUUGCAGAACUGCUGGAUCAGUGAUCCAGAUACUGAACAUGGCUUCAGGGUGGUUUCUGAAUUUUCUGUCUACAAACUACAAACAUUGAAACCUGAUUCCUGGUGGCUGGAUAU